AAUAUUGGGCAAUGGGCGAAAGCCUGACCCAACAACGCCGCGUGAAGGAAGAAGGUCUNCGGAUUNUNAACUUCUUUUAUGAGGGNCGAAGGACGUGACGGUACCUCAUGAAUAAGCCACGGCUAACUACGUGCCAGCAGCCGCGGUAAUACGUAGGUGGCAAGCGUUAUCCGGAUUUACUGGGUGUAAAGGGCGCGUAGGCGGGGAUGCAAGUCAGAUGUGAAAUCUAUGGGCUUAACCCAUAAACUGCAUUUGAAACUGUAUCUCUUGAGUGCUGGAGAGGUAGACGGAAUUCCUUGUGUAGCGGUGAAAUGCGUAGAUAUAAGGAAGAACACCAGUGGCGAAGGCGGUCUACUGGACAGUAACUGACGCUGAGGCGCGAAAGCGUGGGGAGCAAA
rnacentral:rRNA from 1 species